GAGCGCCGUAGCAAUACGGAGCGGCAGACGGGACGUAGUAACACGUGGGAACGUGCCCUUCAGUUCGGAACAACCCAGGGAAACUUGGGCUAAUACCGGAUACGUCCGUAAGGAGAAAGAUUUAUCGCUGAAGGAUCGGCCCGCGUCUGAUUAGCUUGUUGGUGAGGUAACGGCUCACCAAGGCGACGAUCAGUAGCUGGUCUGAGAGGAUGAUCAGCCUCACUGGGACUGAGACACGGCCCAGACUCCUACGGGAGGCAGCAGUGGGGAAUAUUGGACAAUGGGCGCAAGCCUGAUCCAGCCAUGCCGCGUGGGUGAUGAAGGCCUUAGGGUUGUAAAGCCCUUUCGGCGGGGAAGAUAAUGACGGUACCCGCAGAAGAAGCCCCGGCUAACUUCGUG
rnacentral:rRNA from 1 species